rnacentral:rRNA from 1 species
GGCGACGGGUGAGUAACGCGUGGGUAACCUGCCGUAUACAGGGGGACAACAGUUGGAAACGGCUGCUAAUACCGCAUAAGCGCACAGUACUGCAUGGUACAGUGUGAAAAGUUCUGGCGGCAUACGAUGGACCCGCGUCUGAUUAGCUAGUGGUGAGGUAACGGCCCACCAAGGCGACGAUCAGUAGCCGGCCUGAGAGGGUGAACGGCCACAUUGGGACUGAGACACGGCCCAAACUCCUACGGGAGGCAGCAGUAGGGAAUUUUCGGCAAUGGGGGAAACCCUGACCGAGCAACGCCGCGUGAGUGAAGACGGCCUUCGGGUUGUAAAGCUCUGUUGUAAAGGAAGAAAGGCAUGGAUAGAAUCCAUGAGUGACGGUACUUUACCAGAAAGCCACGGCUAACUACGUG